AACACAUGCAAGUCGAACGGUAGCAGGCCUCAUACUUGUACGGGGUGCUGACGAGUGGCGGACGGGUGAGAAACGCGUAAGAAUCUGCCUUAUAAUGGGGGACAACCUUGGGAAACUAAGGCUAAUACCGCAUAAGCCCGAGAGGGGAAAGGCGGAAAGGUCGUUAUAAGAUGAGCUUGCGUCAGAUUAGCUAGUUGGUGGGGUAAAGGCCUACCAAGGCGAAGAUCUGUAGCUGUUCUGAGAGGAAGAUCAGCCAGACUGGGACUGAGACACGGCCCAGACUCCUACGGGAGGCAGCAGUGGGGAAUAUUGGACAAUGGGCGAAACCCUGAUCUAGCCAUGCCGCGUGAUCGAUGAAGGCCUUAGGGUUGUAAAGAUCUUUCAGUGGGGAAGAUAAUGACUGUACCCACAGAAGAAGCCCCGGCUAACUCCGUGCCAGCAGCCGCGGUAAAAC
rnacentral:rRNA from 1 species